AGCUUGCUCCUCUGAUCAGUGGCGAACGGGUGAGUAACACGUGAGCAACCUGCCCCAGACUCUGGGAUAACAGUUGGAAACAGCUGCUAAUACCGGAUACGAGACGGAGAGGCAUCUCUACCGUCUGGAAAGUUUUUCGGUCUGGGAUGGACUCGCGGCCUAUCAGCUAGUUGGUGAGGUAAUGGCUCACCAAGGCGACGACGGGUAGCCGGCCUGAGAGGGCGACCGGCCACACUGGGACUGAGACACGGCCCAGACUCCUACGGGAGGCAGCAGUGAGGAAUAUUGCACAAUGGGCGAAAGCCUGAUGCAGCGACGCCGCGUGAGGGAUGACGGCCUUCGGGUUGUAAACCUCUUUCAGCAGGGAAGAAGCGAAAGUGACGGUACCUGCAGAAGAAGCACCGGCUAACUACGUGCCGCAGCCGCGGUAAUACGUAGGGUGCGAGCGUUGUCCGGAAUUAUUGGGCGUAAAGAGCUUGUAGGCGGUUUGUCGCGUCUGCAGUGAAAAUCCGAGGCUCAACCUCGGACUUGCUGUGGGUACGGGCAGACUAGAGUAUGGUAGGGGAGACCGGAAUUCCUGGUGUAGCGGUGGAAUGCGCAGAUAUCAGGAGGAACACCGAUGGCGAAGGUAGGUCUCUGGGCCAUAACUGACGCUGAGAAGCGAAAGCAUGGGGAGCGAACAGGAUUAGAUACCCUGGUAGUCCAUGCCGUAAACGUUGGGCGCUAGGUGUGGGGCUCAU
rnacentral:rRNA from 1 species